CCGACGGGUGAAGUAAACACGUAUACCCAACCUCCCGUCUACUUUUGGACACCCUUUCAAAAGGAAAGAAUUAAUACAAGAUGGCAUCAUGAGUCCGCAUGUUCACAUGAUUAAAGGUAUUCCGGUAGACGAUGGGGAUGCGUUCCAUUAGAUAGUAGGCGGGGUAACGGCCCACCUAGUCUUCGAUGGAUAGGGGUUCUGAGAGGAAGGUCCCCCACAUUGGAACUGAGACACGGUCCAA
rnacentral:rRNA from 1 species